rnacentral:rRNA from 1 species
ACUCCUACGGGAGGCAGCAGUGGGGAAUAUUGGACAAUGGGCCACAAGCCUGAUCCAGCAAUUCUGUGUGCACGAUGAAGGUCUUCGGAUUGUAAAGUGCUUUCAGUUGGGAAGAAGAAAGUGACGGUACCAGCAGAAGAAGCGACGGCUAAAUACGUGCCAGCAGCCGCGGUAAUA